CCUACGGGAGGCUGCAGUGGGGAAUAUUGGACAAUGGGCGAAAGCCUGAUCCAGCCAUGCCGCGUGUGUGAAGAAGGCCUUCGGGUUGUAAAGCACUUUCAGUGGGGAAGAAAGCCUUGGGGCUAAUACCCUCGAGGAAGGACAUCACCCACAGAAGAAGCACCGGCUAACUCCGUGCCAGCAGCCGCGGUAAUACGGAGGGUGCGAGCGUUAAUCGGAAUUACUGGGCGUAAAGCGCGCGUAGGCGGUCUGAUAAGCCGGUUGUGAAAGCCCCGGGCUCAACCUGGGAACGGCAUCCGGAACUGUCAGGCUAGAGUGCAGGAGAGGAAGGUAGAAUUCCCGGUGGAGCGGUGAAAUGCGUAGAGAUCGGGAGGAAUACCAGUGGCGAAGGCGGCCUUCUGGACUGACACUGACGCUGAGGUGCGAAAGCGUGGGUAGCAAACAGGAUUAGAUACCCGAGUAGUC
rnacentral:rRNA from 1 species